rnacentral:rRNA from 1 species
AUUGAACGCUGGCGGCAGGCCUAACACAUGCAAGUCGAACGAGUGGCGGACGGGUGAGUAAUGUCUGGGAAACUUCCUUAUGGAGGGGGUUAACUACUGGAAACGGUAGCUAAUACCGCAUACCAUCAGAUGUGCCCAGAUGGGAUUGGCUAUUUGGUUGGGUAACGACGCACCAGGGCGACGAACCCUAGCUGGUCUGAGAGGAUGACCGGCCACACUGGAACGGAGACACGGUCCAGACUCCUACGGGAGGCAGCAGUGGUGAAUAUUGCACAGUGGGCGCAAGCCUGAUGCAGCCAUGCAGCGUGUAUGAAGAAGGCCUGCGGGUUGUAAAGUACUUUCAGCGGGGAGGCGUUACCCGCAGAAGAAGCACCGGCUAACUCCGUGCCAGUAGCCGCGGUAAUAC